AUUGAACGCUGGCGGCAUGCCUUACACAUGCAAGUCGAACGGCAGCACGGGAGCAAUCCUGGUGGCGAGUGGCGAACGGGUGAGUAAAGUAUCGGAACGUGCCCAGUCGUGGGGGAUAACGUAGCGAAAGUUACGCUAAUACCGCAUACGAUCUAUGGAUUCAAGCGGGGGAUCGCAAGACCUCGCGCCAUUGGAGCGGGCGAUAGUAGGUUAGGGAUUUGGGGGGGUAAAGGCUCACCAAGCCGACGAUCUUUAGCUGGUCUGAGAGGACGACCAGGCACACGGGGGCUGAGACACGGCCCAGACUCCUACGGGAGGCAGCAGUGGGGAAUUUUGGACAAUGGGCGCAAGCCUGAUCCAGCCAUGCCGCGUGCAGGAUGAAGGCCUUCGGGUUGUAAACUGCUUUUGUACGGAACGAAAAGGUUUGACUUAAUACGUUGGACUCAUGACGGUACCGUAAGAAUAAGCACCGGCUAACUACGUGCCAGCAGCCGCCGUAA
rnacentral:rRNA from 1 species